CCUACGGGAGGCAGCAGUGGGGAAUAUUGCACAAUGGGCGCAAGCCUGAUGCAGCAACGCCGCGUGAAGGAUGAAGGCCUUCGGGUUGUAAACUUCUGUCCUAGGGGAAGAAACAAAUGACAUUACCCUUGGAGGAAGCCCCGGCUAACUACGUGCCAGCAGCCGCGGUAAUACGUAGGGGGCGAGCGUUAUCCGGAAUUAUUGGGCGUAAAGAGUGCGUAGGUGGCACCUUAAGCGCAGGGUUUAAGGCAAUGGCUCAACCAUUGUUCGCCUUGCGAACUGGGGUGCUUGAGUGCAGGAGGGGAAAGUGGAAUUCCUAGUGUAGCGGUGAAAUGCGUAGAUAUUAGGAGGAACACCAGUGGCGAAGGCGACUUUCUGGACUGUUACUGACACUGAGGCACGAAAGCGUGGGGAGCAAACAGGAUUAGAUACCCCAGUAGUC
rnacentral:rRNA from 1 species